rnacentral:lncRNA from 1 species
CCUAGAAUUGGUUCACAUGUUCAGUAAAUAAUUCAUUUAAUCUUCCAGAUAGAGCAUCUACAUCUCCUUGGUGAUGUGAACCAUCCAAGUCAUAAUGAUGGUGAGCUUCAAGUCAUUAACCAUAUCUCAAAAUGUAUUGAUUUUAAAAUUAUCUAGAGAGAGGAAAAUUGAUUAAAAGAGUGUGGCCAAGCUUUUCUGAAUAAAGAUAUAGUUAUGCAAACUUGGGCUGUGAUUGCACAAUAGAAUCUUCGAGAAGUCAGAAGACAAUUAACAAUGGCACACUCUUCAUAUUACUAUAUCUUGAACCUAAGAAGAGAGCAUCAAGAAACAAGUAAACAUAGUAGAUGCUCAUAAACUUUACUAUCCUUUAUUGCAGGAGCAACUCUUUGUUCAUAUGCACAUAACAUUGAAGUUGAGUGGAAGACCUUGAAGUAACAUUAAAUGAAUCCAGAAAAGUUGAGAGGGCAUCCUUUACUGAAGAUGUGUUUGACAACACUUUUGAGUUUCUUGAUGAAAAUUGUAAAACUAAAAUGAGUUGCAUAUAUGGACUUGGAGUA